rnacentral:ncRNA from 1 species
CAAAGGUUUGGUCCUGUCUUUACUGUCAGCUUUAGCUGAACUUACACAUGCGAGUAUCCGCACCCCUGUGAGAAUGCCCUAAAGUUCCCCACCGGAAACAAGGAGCUGGUAUCAGGCUCAAAAAUCUAGCCCAUGACACCUUGCUAAGCCACACCCCCAAGGGAUUUCAGCAGUGAUAAACAUUAAGCCAUAAGUGAAAACUUGACUUAGUUAAAGCUAAGAAGGCCGGUAAAACUCGUGCCAGCCACCGCGGUUAUACGAGAGGCCUAAGUUGACAGACAACGGCGUAAAGAGUGGCUAAGGAAAAAUUUAUACUAAAGCCGAACAUCCUCAAGACUGUCGUACGUUUCCGAGGAUAUGAAGUCCCCCUACGAAAGUGGCUUUAACUCUCCUGACCCCACGAAAGCUGUGACACAAACUGGGAUUAGAUACCCCACUAUGCUCAGCCGUAAACUUAGAUAAGACUUUACAUAACUUAUCCGCCAGGGUACUACGAGCAUUAGCUUGAAACCCAAAGGACUUGGCGGUGCUUCAAACCCACCUAGAGGAGCCUGUUCUAGAACCGAUAAUCCCCGUUAAACCUCACCCUCUCUUGUUCUUCCCGCCUAUAUACCGCCGUCGUCAGCCUACCCUGUGAAGGCCUUAUAGUGAGCAUAAUCAGUAAAACUUAAAACGCCAGGUCGAGGUGUAGCAUAUGAGAGGGGAAGAAAUGGGCUACAUUCCCUAAAUCCGGGCAUACGGAUAGUAUAAUGAAACGUAUAUUAGAAGGAGGAUUUAGCAGUAAGCAGAAAAUAGAGUGUCCUGCUGAAACUGGCCCUGAAGCGCGCACACACCGCCCGUCACCCUCCCCAAAACCCCUAAAAAGACUAAAUAAAACCAUUAAUCUAAUAAAGGGGAGGCAAGUCGUAACAUGGUAAGUGUACCGGAAGGUGCACUUGGUUAAC